UACGGAGGGUGCGAGCGUUAAUCGGAAUUACUGGGCGUAAAGCGCACGCAGGCGGUUUGUUAAGCUAGAUGUGAAAGCCCCGGGCUCAACCUGGGAUGGUCAUUUAGAACUGGCAGACUAGAGUCUUGGAGAGGGGAGUGGAAUUCCAGGUGUAGCAGUGAAAUGCGUGGAUAUCAGGAGGAACAUCAAUGGCGAAGGCAACUUACUGGACAUUUACUGACGCUCAUGUACGAAAGCGUGGGGAGCAAACAGG
rnacentral:rRNA from 1 species